UACGUAGGGCGCAAGCGUUAUCCGGAAUUAUUGGGCGUAAAGAGCUCGUAGGCGGUUUGUCGCGUCUGCCGUGAAAGUCCGGGGCUCAACUCCGGAUCUGCGGUGGGUACGGGCAGACUAGAGUGAUGUAGGGGAGACUGGAAUUCCUGGUGUAGCGGUGAAAUGCGCAGAUAUCAGGAGGAACACCGAUGGCGAAGGCAGGUCUCUGGGCCAUUAACUGACGCUGAGGAGCGAAAGCAUGGGGGAGCGAACAGGAUUAGA
rnacentral:rRNA from 1 species